UACGUAGGGGGCGAGCGUUGUCCGGAAUCAUUGGGCGUAAAGCGCGUGUAGGCGGCCCGGUAAGUCCGCUGUGAAGGUCCAGGGCUCAACCCUGGGAUGCCGGUGGAUACUGUCGGGCUCGAGUCCGGAAGAGGCGAGUGGAAUUCCUGGUGUAGCGGUGAAAUGCGCAGAUAUCAGGAGGAACACCAAUGGCGAAGGCAGCUCGCUGGGACGUGACUGACGCUGAGACGCGAAAGCGUGGGGAGCAAACAGG
rnacentral:rRNA from 1 species